ensembl:lncRNA
GUACCGGAGGAGGUCCAGAGAAGGGCAACGAGGCUGGUGAAGGGCUUGGAAAAUCAGCCCUGUGAGGAGAGGCUGGGGGGGCUGGGGCUGCUUAGUGUGGGGAAGAGGAGGCUGAGGGGAGACCUUAUUACUCUCUUCCAGUACCUGAAAGGUGCUUACAGUGAGAGCGGGGUAGGUCUCUUCUCACUGGUGACAGGUGACAGGAUGAGGGGAAAUGGCCUCCAGUUGCGCCAAGGCAAGUUUAGGUUGGACGUUAGGAAACACUUCUUUACAGAAAGGGUUGUUAAACACUGGAAUGGGCUCCCCAGGGAGGAGGCUGAGUCACCAUCCCUGCAUGUGUUUAAGAGCCGUUUGGAUGUGGUGCUCAGAGAGAUGAUGUAGCGGAGGGCUGUUAGAGUUGGGGUACUGUGGUUCGGAUGCGGUUGGACUUGAUGAUCUUUGAGGUCCUUUCCAACCUGAGUAAUUCUAUGAUUCUAUGGUUCUGGGGGAGUCAGCGUCCAUGGAGGUGUUCCAGAAGCGUGGGGAUGUGGCACUGAGGGACGCGGGCAGUGGGCAGCUGCGGGGGUGGACGGUGGCACUUGGUGAUCUUAGAGGUCUUUGCCAACCAGAGAGAUUCUGUCAUUCUGUGAAUGGAGCCAUUUAUUGCAACGAGAGGUAAUCAGCAGCAAACAACCACAAAGUAAAGCCUCGAGAACAUCACGGGAACACGGAAACACUUGACUGGGAUACUGAUGGAGCCACGGGCCCGGCAGCAUUCAGGUGGGGCCAGGAGGCUGGAUGUGUGGCCCAGUGCCUUCAGCAGCACCAACACGCCGGGUUCCUGCGGGGCUGCGUCCGGCACCGGGCCCCUCACUCUGCGCUGGCUGCAGGAGCCGCCGCCCUCCUGCUGGGGUGCCCUCACCCCUGUGACGUGUGAUGGCGUCAUAGAGGGUGUCAGAGAGGGGCCAUUGUGACGCAUGGGGUGUGGAGCAGAGCUCAGGCUGCGAGGCUCAGGCGGAGCUCAGUGCGACUUGGUGAGGUUGGCACGUGGAGGAGAAAGCCCAGCACUGAUGGGACAGACACUCCGCAAGUGGUUGCCGUCAACGCGCACGGUGUGCGUGGAGACACAGGAGGCCGCCGGCUCGAGGGAGCCUGCAUGCGUGCUCUGUGGCCGAGUGGAUGAGGACUCGAGCAUCCUUGGGCACAAAAAAGAGCUCGGUGGAUUCUAUUUCCAUGAGUUUUGUGCGAUGUUUGCCAAUGAUCUCUGUGAAUAUGUGGAAGCUGGCAGAAUGGCACAAUUUUCCAGAAAAGACCUGAUACGCACAGUGAGGCAGGCAGAGCAGACGGUGAGCACCGGACCAGAACAGGGAGCUUUGUGCCAGGAGAGGCACGGCGAGCUCAGCCUGGUCCCAAGGAAGCAAUCCCAGCCCUUCCAACCAGCCCCAGGAGAAAGUCCUGCUCUUGCAGACGAGCCCUGUUCACCAGGCAGCUCUGCAGAGUGCCACCCAGCCCUGCCCGCACGCUGUGCCCUGCCCAGAGGUGCGGGGCCCGCUGCGUAGGCCC